rnacentral:tRNA from 1 species
CCCGAGUAGGUGGCAGGUUGUAGCCCUGUGCAGGUGGGUGCCAAUCCCGCUCUUACCAC